rnacentral:rRNA from 1 species
UAAAUACUCCCUAGUGACCGAUAGUGAACCAGUACCGUGAGGGAAAGGUGAAAAGCACCCCGGAAGGGGAGUGAAACAGUUCCUGAAACCGUGUGCCUACAAGUAGUUAGAGCCCGUUAAUGGGUGAUAGCGUGCCUUUUGUAGAAUGAACCGGCGAGUUACGAUUUGUUGCAAGGUUAAGCGGAAAAAGCGGAGCCGUAGCGAAAGCGAGUCUGAAUAGGGCGCAUAAGUAACAGGUCGUAGACCCGAAACCAGGUGAUCUACCCAUGUCCAGGAUGAAGGUAAGGUAAUACUUACUGGAGGUCCGAACCCACGCACGUUGAAAAGUGCGGGGAUGAGGUGUGGGUAGCGGAGAAAUUCCAAUCGAACUUGGAGAUAGCUGGUUCUCUCCGAAAUAGCUUUAGGGCUAGCCUCGAGGUAAAGAGUCAUGGAGGUAGAGCACUGUUUGGACUAGGGGCCCUUCUCGGGUUACCGAAUUCAGAUAAACUCCGAAUGCCAUGUACUUAUACUCGGGAGUCAGACUGCGAGUGAUAAGAUCCGUAGUCGAAAGGGAAACAGCC